UACGUAGGGGGCAAGCGUUAUCCGGAUUUACUGGGUGUAAAGGGAGCGUAGACGGCACAGCAAGUCCGAAGUGAAAACCCAGGGCUCAACCUUGGGAUUGCUUUGGAAACUGUUGAGCUGGAGUACGGGAGGGGCAGGCGGAAUUCCUAGUGUAGCGGUGAAAUGCGUAGAUAUUAGGAGGAACACCGGCGGCGAAGGCGGCCUGCUGGACCGUAACUGACGUUGAGGCUCGAAAGCGUGGGGAGCAAACAGGAUUAGAAACCCUAGUAGUCCCGG
rnacentral:rRNA from 1 species